rnacentral:lncRNA from 1 species
AGGACUAUAAGGUGUGGAAACGUUGGGAAAGAGACUGCUGUUUCACCUGAUUAUAACACUAGUGUUGCUUCUUGUAAAGCCUGUGGUAGCUUUGUUGAUGUUCAUGGUUCUAGUUCUGUACCUGAAGAGAGUGGAAAGAGCAUGGUUUGUGUUUCUGAAUCAACUCCCUUCGAGAGGAGUAAAAGAAGUGUGCAUUGGAGAAAUCAAGAACCAUCUAUGCCUGUUUCUGGUAAAGGCAGAGGCUGUAUAGAUCAAAUGGAGAGGAAGGCUCUUCACCGUGCUCGGUUUCCUCCUGUCCCUGAAUCUUACACCUUACAGAGAAGCAGAGGUUCGUCUUCACCUGCAAAUGCCAUCAACUAUAAAGACAAGGACUUUAUUGCCAUGAAUAGAGGUUCAGCUAGCAGAGCUAAAUUUGAAAACUCUGGUUUGAAUCUGCAGAGAAGGUCUCACACUAGAAUUGAGGAGUCUUGUAAUAGAUCAGGUCUGAACACUUGUGCACGGAAGAGAAGGCCAGCUUGUGAAACCGCGUUUUCUCCAUUGAAACUUGGUUCCCCUCAAAGAGAUUAUAGCCAAUGCUGCAGAGAAACUAAAGAGAGAAAAAGACCGCCACGUGUUCCAAAUCAGAUGGGUCAGAAAAGAAUACAAGUUGAUGCCGGUACUGUGGGUUUGAUUCAGCAGAAGUUGGAAGAAAUCACUUCUCAAGAAGAAGAUGCAUUGCCCAGUAAACCGGCCUCUUUGAUCCUCCAUGAGUUGCUUUCUUCACUAGCACGCGAGCAGACUUACUCCAGGGAUGUUGAUAAUCGGGUAUGUUUUAUAAUACUCUGCAAGAAUGUUUUAGUAUUUUUUUUUUCAUUUUCUAUUCAUUCUUCUUUCUUAACUCUUGCAGAAGAAAGGCAAAACAGAGAUGUGGAGUUCCAUUGGAAAUGCAAACAGUGACUACACAAGCCCUGGUUCUGUACUGGAUGCAUCUUUCUCUAACGAGAGUUGCUUUUCCAAUAGCUUUGACAAUAUCUCAGGUUACAUAAAGAUCUAUUCAGACAGUAAUUUAAGUUCUUGAAUCUGAAACCUGAAACUGCCGUUAUGAUUUGUGUAGUUCCAGGACAGAUGAGGAUGCCUCUAGAGCCAGUAGAGCCCGAUUGGGACGUUCUUGAAGACUCCGCGACUUUGUUCAAGAACUCAACGAGUGUUGGUAACUAUCAAGCGAUCACCAGUCUGGUCAGCCAUGUCUCCAACGUCCUGCGAAGCUUAAGCAACACAGGUCUCAUAUUAACGCUGCAGAGAUUCACCAACGCAAGAGAAGUAAUAAUCCACACCGAGCUAUUGGCUGCUCAAGACAACUACCUCAUCGGGCAAGAACUCUUCGACGAACUUAUGAUUUACGCAGCUCGUUCCGAUAAUCUGCUUAAUCUCCCUGGAAUAACCGGAGGGUUCCUUGUUGAUGCAAUGGUCGAACACUUGGAAGAAAUAAACAUUUCCUGCGGAUUAAAGCCUUCGAGUGCUGAAGCAUCCGAGUUGAUUCAAGGUGUUCUUGGGGAAGUUCCAAAGUGGGCAGCAUUGGCACGGGUUGAGAUGGACGAAGUUGUCGGUAUCGAGAUGGAGAAAUGGAUGGAUCUUGAAACCCAUUUGUUUGGAGUUGGAUCAGAGAUUGCGUAUGAGAUCGUUAUGUGUUUGGUUGAAGAGUUAGCUAUGGAUCUACUUUAGUAUUUGUGUAAUUCACACUAUUAAACCAUUUGAAUCAUAUGAUCAAUGCUUAUUGUUAGAAUAGUAUCACAAAUCAACAAACCAAAUCAUAAUAAAAACAAACGAUUCAAUCUUUAUCAAUCAAAACCUAAAAACAAAUCAAAUCGUGUUCGAUUAGACAUUAAGUUUGUCUGUAACCUAGAAUAGUCCGACCACCACCACCACCGCUGACUGAUUUCCUCCUCCCUCCUCCUCCUCCUCCGCCGAGUGACUUCCUUCCACCGCCAUUAAUGGCUGAAGCUACGGCGGUGGAAAUUUAAAAGGGGUGUAAAACAAUCUCUCUCGAGCCCCUUUCACCGCCAGUGACAGCAGAGAGAAUCACACAGUAAAAGGAUUUUUAACUCUCUCAUCUCUCUUUCAGUCACUUCGUCACUAUCGUUUAGCUUUUGUCUCCUUUCACCUUUUUAACUCAACUGCGAAUAUUACCCGUUGAGUUGAGUCCCAUUUUUUGAUAAAACACUUUUUUUAUCUUCUUUUUAAAAGCUCAGUUUCUUUUUUGUAAUAAAAAAUAAAUCAGAGUGUGUUUCUUCUUCUUCUUCCACUGUACAAAUCGUCGUUUUGCUGAUUUCCAUCUGUCUCCUUUCUUUCCCCUUUCUCGUAACUUGUCGAUAUUUUGCUCUAAUGUACACUCUUCUUCUCUGCUUUUCCUAAAGAGAUUCUUCUUCUUCUUCUUCCUCCUCCUCCUCACGAGCUCCAAAGUUUCAGAAAAAAACUGACAAUCUUUUUUUUCUUUUACAGAAUCGCAAUUCAAAGAAAGUCUUUUAUCUUAAGCUGUGAGCUCAGAUUCUGUCAAGAUAUUCUUUCACCAGAGAAUGAUAGUUCUUAAGCUUGAGCUUCAGAUUCUGUCUAGAUAUUCUUUCACCAGAGAAUGAUUGUUCUUCUCCGGUGAAGUUAUUGGAAUGCGAAACGUUUAUCUGUGAGGUGUUUCCUUCUCUCUGAGCUUUUGUGUCGGUCGUUAGGGUUUGGUGGUAAUGACGGGUGAGUUACAGGAGACGGUGGCGCCGUGUGGGGCCAUAACUGAGAAACGGCCAAGCCGACUCAGCGGUUGCGUCGGCGUAUUCUUCCAGCUCUUCGAUUGGAACCGACGCUUCUCCAAAAAGAAGCUCUUUUCUCGCAAAUCUCUUCUUCCUGGUUAGUGCCUCGGUUUAUUAUCUACACGGUUGUGUCUGAAAAUGAAAAAGAGAUUCUUGUUUCGUUUUUUUUUUCUCAGGGAAACAAGCUUCUAAGAGGUUUGGUGGGAAUGAUAAACUGCUCAAAUCUAAGCUUAACCUGGUGAUUAUUUCCCCCUUUUUUAGUUAAAAGUUUAAAUCUCUAGUUUGGUUUGAGUUGUAUGUCUCUUUUGUUUUGAAGAUUGAUGAUGAGAAGAGAGGAAGUUUCCCGAACCGAGGUGAAGUUGUGGACUUUAAAAGGCAUGAGAUGAGACCUCCUAGUUUGGUAGCACGUUUGAUGGGACUUGAAUCAAUACCUUCUAAUCACAAGAAGAAGAAGAAGUCAUCACAUUUGAUGAAUCAGGACAAGGAUAAAUGCCUUUUGUCUGAGGAGGAAGAAGAAGAAGAAGAUAGUGGUUUGGAUAAGUCUAGGCCACAGAAGAUGCAGAGAACAAUAAGAGGUGUGUGCGACAGGCGUGUUAUGGUGAAGAAGUUUGGAUCAGACGCCAUGCAGAUCAAGAACGUUUUGACCCGAGUAAGGAAACAUCAUCACCAGCAUCAGAAUCUGGCUUCUCCUGUUAAAAGCCCGAGGCUUCAGAGGCGUAACUCUAGGUUGAUCAACGCUGCUGCUAGGAUUCUGGAACCGGGGAAGAGAAAUUCGAAAUACAACGCUAUUGCUUAUCCAAGUUCUUCCAGGACUAUAAGGUGUGGAAACGUUGGGAAAGAGACUGCUGUUUCACCUGAUUAUAACACUAGUGUUGCUUCUUGUAAAGCCUGUGGUAGCUUUGUUGAUGUUCAUGGUUCUAGUUCUGUACCUGAAGAGAGUGGAAAGAGCAUGGUUUGUGUUUCUGAAUCAACUCCCUUCGAGAGGAGUAAAAGAAGUGUGCAUUGGAGAAAUCAAGAACCAUCUAUGCCUGUUUCUGGUAAAGG